UACGAAGGGGGCUAGCGUUGUUCGGAAUCACUGGGCGUAAAGGGCGCGUAGGCGGCCGAUCAAGUCGGGGGUGAAAGCCUGUGGCUCAACCACAGAAUUGCCUUCGAUACUGUUUGGCUUGAGACCGGAAGAGGUUAGUGGAACUGCGAGUGUAGAGGUGAAAUUCGUAGAUAUUCGCAAGAACACCAGUGGCGAAGGCGGCUAACUGGUCCGGUUCUGACGCUGAGGCGCUAAAGCGUGGGGAGCAAACAGG
rnacentral:rRNA from 1 species